AAGCAUAAGAAAUUAUAUUUUGACAUUGCAGUUUUUGGGAAAAACAGGCUAUUUUAUGUGACUCAACAGAUUAGUCAUCAGAUAUCAGAUGGAACAAAUUUGAACUGUACACCAUGUUUGGAUAAACUGAGAGUAUUUUAUUUUGCCUAAGUAUGUUUAGUCAGAAGGAUGAAGAGAAGGAAGACUGUACCUCACAAAGAGCAACGGCCUUCAACAGUCCUCCGUUAAUCAGCAUCUGCCGCCAAGUCUUGUCUUCCUGUGCACUUCCUUUUAAAGCCCCAAGGUGCCGUGUAAGAAGUCCAACUACUCUGAGAUUGCCCUGCUGUGAGGAAGCCCAAGCUAUCGGUGUAGAGGGAGAAAGCAAUGCUGGCCAACCUCCAGCCGUUCCAGCCACCCCAGUGCAGGGGCCAGACAUGGAAAUGAAGUUCUCUUGGAUCCUCCAGACCAGACCAGCUACGGCCAGCCUUAGUUGAUGCCAUGUGGAACAAAAGAACCUCCCAGCUGAACCCUGCCUGAAUUUGUAGCUCACAAAACUCACAUGAUAUAAUAAAAUAGUUCUUAUUUUAAACCACUAACUUUUGGGCUAACAACAAAAGGUAAUUGGAUGGGCAGAGGAUACGAAUGCACAUUUUCCAAAGAAGAUAUAUAGAUGGCCAACUGGCACAUGAAAAGGUGCUCAGCAUCAGUAAUUAUUAGGGAAAUGCAAAUCAAAACUACAAUGAGAUAUCACCUCACACUCAUCAGAACGGCUAUAAUUAACAAGACAGGAAAUAAGUGUUAAAGAGGAUAUGGAGAAAAGGGAACAUUCAUACACUACUGGUAGGAAUGUCAACUGGUACAGCCACUAUGGAAAACAGUAUGGCGAUUCCUCAGACAAUUAAAAAUAGAAAUACCAUACGAUCCAGCUAUCCCACUGCUGGGUGUUUAUCCAAAGAAGAUGAAAUCAACAAUUCAAAGAGAUUUAUGCAUCCCUAUGUUAAUCGCAGCAUUAUUCACAAUAGCCAAGACAUGGAAGCAACCCAAGGGCCCAUUAACAGAUAAGUGGAAAAAGAAGAUGUCAUAUACACAUACAAUGGAAUAUUACUCAGCCAUAAAAAGUCAAAAUCAUGCCAUUUUUCAACAAUAUGAAUGGACCUUAAGUAUAUUGUGCUAAGCAAAAUAAGCCAGACAAAGACAAAUACUGUAUGAUUUCACUCAUAUGUGGAAGAGAAACACAUGGAUAAGGAGAAUAGACUAGUGGUUACCAGAGGGGAACCCUCCCCCAACUGUCUUCCCCUCUGGUACAUAUGUAUGGUAACAGAUAAAAACUAGACUAUGAGGGUGAACAAGAUGCAGUUUAUACAGAAACUGAGAUAUAGUGAUGUACACCUGAAAUUUACACAACGCUCUAAGCCAAUAUGACCUCAAUAAAAAAAAUCAAAUUAAAAAAAAAAGAUAAUUGGAACAACGUCUGAAUCACACGCUACACUUUACAACAUGGCUGCUUUCCAGAGAAUUCAUCCAUAAAUCAAAUGCCUAUUCACUUGUACAAUAAACACUUAUUCAGCACUACUAAUAUGCCAGGAAGUUUGCUAGAAUGCAAAGUUGAGCAUGGCAUAAUUCUUAUCCUCAAGUGGCUUUCUCUCUAGUGGGACAAACAGAGAACUAAGUUAGUAGUUACAGUUUAAUGAUAUAAGCAGACCACCAUGUUGCUCAAGGGGAGGUGUACAUUCGCUUUGCAUCCUAUGCAAAUGGUGCCCACUGGAGUUGAACACACACACAGCUAUUCAAAAGGCCACAGUGUGAAUACUCCCCUAAAACUGGGUAGGAUAGAGGCCCUGGUGAUAAAUAUUAGGCUAUAAGUAUGCACAGAGUGCUAGAAAAGCACAGAAGAGAGAAGGAAAACAAUGAACUUUACCUGGAGCGUUUUUAUUUUCACUAUUAAGAUAUAGGGAAUUAACGAGCCCAGUGAAAUGUUAUUGAUAUUGACAAUGUGGUUUAGGAAUGGUAACAUUUAUCUUAAUGUGUAUAAUACAGCUGGGUUCAAACAAUUAAUUUAAACCACUAAAUAUGCAUUUUCAUAUUCACUUUAACACAUAUGCAAACUUCUAUCAAGUAAUAAAGAGAGAUUAAAAAUUUGUUUGAAGAAAAACCUCAAAAAAAAUAAAAUCAUGCUUUCGUAGCAAUUGUAUUGUAAUUUCAGGUGAUCAUUCUCAGUGGAAAUUUCUUGACCACAGGCAAAACAUUACAUCUCUCUAAAUUGUGAAGAAGACCCACUAAAAGUUCAAGAGGUCAAUAUCAGUUUGAACUUUGACAGAUGAAAAUAGCAGAACUCAACUGACUCAAGAAAGGGAGCUGAGUUAAUACCUGGUUGGUCAGGGCCUAGUUAUUUCUAACUAGUUCAUAUACUAUUCCUUCAGAUAUUUAUUCUUCUAAAUAAAUAUCAGGGAAGGGGGGAAGAAAUGGGAAAAAGAAAGAUGUCCUUCAUGCCCGUUCAGUACCUAACGACUACAUAAAUUGGAGAAUCCACUCUCACUAGACAGACCACAGAUUCACUCUAAUUUAUGACUCUUUGGGCAAACAAGUCUUAUUUUAGGGUUUUUGUCGGCUUAGCAAUAAAUGUGAAACAGGAUUGGAUUCUCCAAUCCAUUGUUUGGUUUUUCAGUAUAAACCAACAAAUGCAGAGCUCUGGGACUAGGUCUAUGAGCUUAUUCAAAUAUCUUAACACAGAUUUAAAACAAAAAUAUUUGGAAGUGGAUUGCAACAUUUUUUCCUGUGAUUACACUCCUUUCAGUGUUACUCUAAUUAUAAAUGGUUAAACAAAGCAUAUUUGCAAAUUUGAAAGAAGGCUCCAGGUCACAUACAAAGGAGACCAAGAAAUUCCUGUCUUUUGUAUUUUGAGUAAAGCAACCUUCCUUUAAAACUUUUUCCUUAAAGUAAAUUGUUAAUAUCCAUUCAUAAAUAUGGAGGAGCAGUAUUUACACCAGUUGUCUAUCUUACUCUACUACUUAAUUAUAUAGGGUCACCAAUGGUUCAAGCUAAAAUGUAUCUGUGUGUAUAACAUUGCUGUGACAUUUAUAUUUUUCUCUAAUUACCUCUCCCUUUGUCUCAAAACAUUAGAGACAGAUAUAGCAGGAGGAAACAAAUUCAGAUUACCUAUGGCUAUUAAUUAUAUUUGAAGACGUCAUAGAAAUCUAUAUUUGCUAAACUAUUCUAAGACACCUAACAUUCCAUUCGGAGGAGAGGAGUAGACGCUUAGUCCAUAAUAACUAAAGUGUAGUCAUUUCUCUGUCAUCCAUGCCAAUGAAAUUGAGGAAUGGUUCAAAUAAGUAAGUAAUCUUUUCAAUACAAUUGGAUCAACUACCACAUACAUUAAAAGUUUUUCCAAAUUUUCAUCACAGUCCAUUCUUAAUUCAAGGCUAAUAAUUUCAGUAACAUAUCACUUAUUUACUUCUGACGCUCCAGAGGCACCUCAACCUCAACAAAUUUCUUGCUUUUAUUCUCCCAGUUGCUGAAGACAGAAACUCCACAGUCUCCAUUGACCUGUCCCUUUCCCUCAUUUCCUACAGUUAAUUAAUCUUCAUGACCUGUGAGUUCUGUCUCUGAAGUCAGUGGUUCCUAAAUUUGCUUGUACAUGAGAAAACGUAUGAGGAGAGCUUGUAAAGUGCUUAUUCCUGGUGCUCAAACCUGGAGAUUCAGUAGGUAGUGAAUCCAUAUUCUAUUUGAAGCUCCCAGAUAAUUCUGAUGCACAGUCAGGUUUGAGAAACAUAGCCCUUAAAUUUCUAAUUUAUUUUAUUCUCUCCUCCCAUAUUGAAAUUACUUCACUUGAAAUAUCUAUCUCCUAACUAGACUAUUCCAACAGCUUGCUAAAUUUGUUUCCCCUACUCCAUUAAUCCCUGUCUGUUUUGGUUGAUCCUGUACACUGAUUGUCUCGUUCUCUUUUUAAGCCUUUUAGAAAGAUUGUGGUUAUUUUUGUUGAGAGGUAGUACCUGGAGAAGCAGAGGAGGAUUUCUGGGUUGUUGAUAACGUUCAGUUUUUCAUUCUGUCUGUUGGCUACAAAGGCAUGCUCUCUUUAUGAAAAUUCACCGAGGGCUACUUUUCAAUGUGUUACAUUUUAAUUUAAGAGUUAAAACUGAUAGCUCCCCUUCAAGUACUUCUGGCUCUCCUCCCCUGUACCGCAUUUCUGAUUACUUUUCUAACAUGAUUCUGACCUUUAGUACAUGUUGUCCUCUCUCCUUAGAACAUCUUUUCUGCCUUCUUCACCUGGUAACUCUAUUAGGAACAAUCUUACCUUUAAACAGUGUUAGUUGCUUUCUAUUCCAUGUUCCCAUAACACAUUACCCAUUAACCUGUUUUUAUUACAUUAUUGUGUAAUGCUUUGUUUCCACCUUAGCAUUCCAGGUUGUAGAGUGUCUGUUUUAUUCAUAUUUCUGGCCUCCUGCAGAGAACAGCCCAGAAAUUGGUAGACAGUACGGAUUCAACAAUGCUUUUUAAAUAAAAUGAAUGAAUACAUGAAUGGAUGCUGUGGUUUCAUUGACAAAUAGGAAAAUCUGGCAUCAGAAAAUAAAGGAGUGGAAACCAAAUCCCGUGUUAGGAUGUGAAGCUAUGGUUCUUAGACACAAGUAUUUUCAGUUUGGAUGAAUCCAAGCACAAAUAAAUAAUGAGGAGCUGAAUGCUAUGUAUCACAACUAUAAUAAUCAUCUGAGCUAAUAAAGAAGUCCCAGCCUGGGAAGAAAAGGACUCCGGGUACAGCUGAGACUCCAACACCACAGGGCUUUGGCACUUUGAAUAUGUCAUCACACUGCCUUCCAGCCUCCUCUAUUUUGGAUGAUGUCAGCUGUUGGACUUAUUGGUGAAUCCCAAGUCCUUGGUUGAAACCUAAUCUGCAAUGUGAUGGUAUUUGGAGAUGGGGCCUUUGAGACGUGAUUAGGUCAUGAGGGUGGACCCCUCACAAAUAGGAUUAGUCCUCUUAUAAAAGAAGCCCCAGAGAGAUCCCUCACCCCUUCCAUCAUCUGAGGACACAGUGAAAAGACAGCCAUCUAUGAACCGGAGAGUGGGCCUCACCAGACACAGAAUCUGCCAGCGUCUUGAUCUUGAACUUCCCAGCCUCCAGAACUGUGAGCAAUAAAUUUGCUGUUUAUAAGUUACUCAGUCUAUGGAAUCUUGUUAUAGCAUCCCAAACAAACGAAGACAGUAGUGUUAGGGACAAACACAAGGUCCCUGACUUUGAGUUAAGAUUUGCACUCAUCAGAUCACCCAGCAUUGCAGUUCCUUGGAGAGUCCUGGACAUUGCUAAUGUAUUAACCUAUUUCUCAAAUGGAAACAUUUAGGGAAAAAAUGUAUGAUUCUAUCUUGAGUCAAAAAUCUGGCUUGAAAGAAAGUCCACAUCUCUAAUUACCCGACUUGGGUGUCUGUGACUCUACGAUGCACCCUCUUCCAGAAUGAAGAUUCUACUAAAACUUCCUUGGCAUCAUUAUUCAGUAGCAGGAAAUUGUGACAUGAUACCUUAAAAUAAACGAAUCUAAGUAUACCAGGUUUAAGCUGAGUCUGGAUGAGUUUAACAGAAAACUAAAUGUCCUCAGAUUUUUUUCCUAUGACCUUACAGGCUACCUCAAGUCUGAGGAUAUAUAUGUGUCUAGAGAUUUGACAGGACUCUUUACAAAUUCAUACGCUUUUAUUGAUUACAUGAUGGAAAAAAUUUGGAGUUGAUCUUAUAUUGUCAUUGGCAUUAGUGAGGUUGAGAGUUUUUGUUUGAUCUCCAUUCAAGCUUUUUAGAAGCUUAGAAAUUGCAGACAGAAGCAAUUCAAAUUUAUGCAGAGUUUGACAGUGAGUUAAUUACUAGAACUAUGCAAAAUUGAAUUUUGAGAAAACAAUUCUGGCGUUUUUGAAUAGUUGUAUGUUAUGAAUGCACUUCUCCGUAAGCAUAUGCAAGCUAUCUGUCAACUAGCUGGCUCAUUUUGAAGACACGUCCACUUAAGAGAAAAUGUUAUAUUUCAAAGAGUCUUAUGAAGCACAGAGAAAAGACUACAAGUACUUUGCCCUUUACCCUUGAAAUGUAUGCAGAACCCCAAACUAGAGUUGAACUCAUAAUACUGAACUCCCAGGCACCAUAGUUGUUAAAAUAGAUACAGACACGGAUCCAAACAGGCAGGGUGGUCUCUUCUCUGGUAUUCACAUUCCACACGCUGUCGCGGACAUAUCCAAAUCAGAGCAAGCCUUAACACGGAAACAGAGGAGACAGCCAUCUCUGCAGUGUGAUUUCAAACAUGUUCAGGUUGCCCCCGAAAUACAAGUCCUUUUACCAGCUGAAAUUUCCCAAUUCGGAAUUUAUUUUGUGUCUUAACAUUUUGAACACUGCUAAAAGGGAAAUUCUCUGACAUGUAUGCAUGGAUAAUGAGAG
ensembl:lncRNA